rnacentral:rRNA from 1 species
AGAGUUUGAUCAUGGCUCAGAUUGAACGCUGGCGGCAGGCCUAACACAUGCAAGUCGAACGGUAACAGGAAGCAGCUUGCUGCUUUGCUGACGAGUGGCGGACGGGUGAGUAAUGUCUGGGAGACUGCCUGAUGGAGGGGGAUAACUACUGGAAACGGUAGCUAAUACCGCAUAACGUCGCAAGACCAAAGAGGGGGACCUUAGGGCCUCUUGCCAUCGGAUGUGCCCAGAUGGGAUUAGCUAGUAGGUGGGGUAACGGCUCACCUAGGCGACGAUCCCUAGCUGGUCUGAGAGGAUGACCAGCCACACUGGAACUGAGACACGGUCCAGACUCCUACGGGAGGCAGCAGUGGGGAAUAUUGCACAAUGGGCGCAAGCCUGAUGCAGCCAUGCCGCGUGUAUGAAGAAGGCCUUCGGGUUGUAAAGUACUUUCAGCGGGGAGGAAGGGAGUAAAGUUAAUACCUUUGCUCAUUGACGUUACCCGCAGAAGAAGCACCGGCUAACUCCGUGCCAGCAGCCGCGGUAAUACGGAGGGUGCAAGCGUUAAUCGGGAUUACUGGGCGUAAAGCGCACGCAGGCGGUUUGUUAAGUCAGAUGUGAAAUCCCCGGGCUCAACCUGGGAACUGCAUCUGAUACUGGCAAGCUUGAGUCUCGUAGAGGGGGGUAGAAUUCCAGGUGUAGCGGUGAAAUGCGUGAGAUCUGGAGGAAUACCGGUGGCGAAGCGGCCCCCUGGACGAGACUGACGCUCAGUGCGAAGCGUGGGGAGCAAACAGGAUUAGAUAUCCUGGUAGUCACGCCGU